rnacentral:rRNA from 1 species
UCGAGAAUCUUCCGCAAUGGACGAAAGUCUGACGGAGCGACGCCGCGUGCGGGAUGAAGGCCCUCGGGUUGUAAACCGCUGUCAGUUGGGAGGAAAUGCAUAAGGGUUCUCUCUUAUGUUUGACCGAUCUUCAGAGGAAGUCCGGGCUAAGUUCGUGCCAGCAGCCGCGGUAAGACGAACCGGACAAACGUUAUUCGGAAUCACUGGGCUUAAAGAGUACGUAGGCGGCCUUGUAGGUUGGGUGUGAAAUCCCACAGCUCAACUGUGGAACUGCGCUCAAAACCACAAGGCUUGAGGGAGACAGGGGUAAGCGGAACUGAUGGUGGAGCGGUGAAAUGCGUUGAUAUCAUCAGGAACACCGGUGGCGAAGGCGGCUUACUGGGUCUCUUCUGACGCUGAGGUACGAAAGCUAGGGUAGCGAACGGGAUUAGAUACCCCCGUAGUCC